rnacentral:rRNA from 1 species
GAUGAACGCUGGCGGCGUGCCUAAUACAUGCAAGUCGAGCGAACAGACGAGGAGCUUGCUCCUUCGACGUUAGCGGCGGACGGGUGAGUAACACGUAGGUAACCUACCUAUAAGACUGGGAUAACUUCGGGAAACCGGAGCUAAUACCGGAUAAUAUUUCGAACCGCAUGGUUCGAUAGUGAAAGAUGGCUUUGCUAUCACUUAUAGAUGGACCUGCGCCGUAUUAGCUAGUUGGUAAGGUAACGGCUUACCAAGGCAACGAUACGUAGCCGACCUGAGAGGGUGGUGGCCCACCUUGGAACUGGGCCAGGGCCCAGACUCCAAGGGGGGGCACCGGUGGGGAUUCUCCCGAAAGGGGGGAAGGCCUGACGGAGCAACGCGGGGGGGGUAAGGAGGUUCUCGGGAUCUUAAACUUCUUUUAUGGGGGAAAAAAAAAGUUGAAAGAAACUGUGCACGCCUGGACGGUCCCUAAUAAGAAGCCCCCGGCUAACUACGUG